AUCACAACAAAAAUCAAGAAAAGAUUAUCUUCGCAAAUGGAAAAAGAAUAGGAAUUACAACUAUAGCAGAGUAUUAAUUUUUCCUCCAUGGGGUAAGUAGCAGGGAAGUUUCAGAAAUCAAUCCUGGGGAAGAGAGACAACACUCCAUCAGUGAGCUAAAAAUAAACAACAGUAAAGAUCUGCCCAAUAAGGAUCAGAAAGAUCAAAGCCUGCAUAAGACAGUGAAAAAUCCAUGACAUUAGAAUUUUGUCCAGGCCCAAAGGGAACUAAUUCUGUGGUGAAAUACUGUAAUACAAGCUCCAACUCAAGCACACUCAAAUUCUUAAACAUUCUGUUUCCUGGGAGAUGUAUACAACCCUUUAAGAACUCAUCUGUCUGUUCUGGAAGACAAAUUCUGGAAGAAAUACCUUGCUUUUUUGUUUAAAAGAAGUGAUCUGAGGCUACUCAAAAAUAACAAAACAAACAGUAGAGAACACCAACAUACGACGAACCGCAUACAGCUUUAAAAGACUAUCAACUCUUGUCUGAACCCAGCAUCAUAAACAUCGUAACAGGAACGCAUUCACUGCAGCACAUCGCUCACAGGUAGCUCAGGCAGAAAUAGAAAUGAAGCAGCAGCAGCAGAGCUUCAGUAUGGCCCGUGCACUCUGCUGAAGACCUGAUUCUGCCCAAAUUCAGGUUGGAACUGGAGAGCCACUAGAAAGACCAUUAACUUUGAAGCCUGCAGUCACUUCAAGAAGGACAAUGGAAUUUGAUGAAGUCCAACUCUGGGAUUAUUUUAAAUGGUACAAUAGUAUUGUCUCACCUGAAAUCCCCCAGAACACCACAAAAAACAAGAGUUAAUGUGUUUAGUCCUCAAGACAACUGCAUCUCAAGUUAACUCUAAACCUUCAAGAUACACCUAAACUUCAGCUAAGGAUCUUUGUGUGGAAUUCAGAAGUCUUUUCAAGUCUGAGUGUAACUUGACCCCCAUUGAUGGCUGUACUAAUCUAUUUCCUUGAAAGCAAGGUGAAACAGGACAUUUAAAACCUUCACACAUUAAAUAUGCAUCAACUAAUACAUUUAUUUACUUAUUUUAAGUAUAUGCUGUCAAAGA